GGGACUGUGGCGAAGCGGUACCGCGUCUGCUUUGGGUGCAGAAGACCCCGGGUUCGAACCCCGGCUGUCCCC